rnacentral:rRNA from 1 species
GAAGAUGGUGAACUAUGCCUGAAUAGGGCGAAGCCAGGGGAAACCCUGGUGGAAGCCCGCAGCGAUUCUGACGUGCAAAUCGAUCGUCAAAUUUGGGUAUAGGGGCGAAAGACUAAUCGAACCGUCUAGUAGCUGGUUCCCUCCGAAGUUUCCCUCAGGAUAGCUGGAGCCCGGUGCAGUUUUAUCAGGUAAAGCGAAUGAUUAGAGGUCUUGGGGUCGAAACGACUUCAACCUAUUCUCAAACUUUAAAUGGGUAAGAGGUCCGGCUUGCUCGGUUGAAGUCGGACGCGGAAUGCCGGGGCUCCUAGUGGGCCAUUUUUGGUAAGCAGAACUGGCGAUGUGGGAUGAACCGAAAGCCGGUAA